rnacentral:rRNA from 1 species
AUGAGUGAGGAUGGACACCAACAAACAGCGUUCAGGGCUGCAGUGAUGCACAGUGGGACUGUACGACUACCCAGGAGCCCUCCCGCACAAAGCUGCUGGCUUGUACAACAACUAUCGGGAUAUGUGCCACUAAACAGUGGAGCAGCACCGCACCUUUCAAGGGGCUCAACAAUGACAAGGCCUGCGCAAGCGCUAAGAGGAGCUGCGCCACAACUUUUGAUGCAUACGGCACUAGCAAGAGGUCCUGCGCGACCUCCUAUGGGUCCUAGACCAGCAAUUUGGCCUGCACCACAAACUAUCGGGGCUAUACAACCACCGCGGGGGCCUGCCGUGGCAAACACAACCUAUGUGGCUAUUCCUGGACUGGCACCAUCGCCUGCAUCAUCAGCAACAGUGGAUGGCAGGUAUGGACAGCACCCAGGUUCUUCAACUACACAAGAAGAAAAUGCCAAUGCAAUUCCAUCUCCUAUUGUGCAAGCUCCUGGUGGACAUGCACACUAG